UUCCCCGAUCUCCUCUUCCUCGACCUCACGCCGAAACCCGAAACUCCCUUCCCUCUCCGGCGAUUUCUCGCCUCACCGACACCAAGCUCACGAUCGCCGACCAUCUUCCUUCGGGUAGGGCUAGGGCAAAGACUCCAUUGGCUCCUCUUGCGAUCCUUUUCCUUUCUCUCUUUCUCACGAACGCCCGAUGCCAACGAAGAACGACUUCUUCCACGGCGAUCGCGUCCUCGUCGAGUCACCGGAGAGAAUGGCGUUGGUUUUCGGGGGUUACCGAUCAUCUCCCACUGAGAGGUUGUCUUCUCGGCGGUUUCUUGCUCGCGGUCGGCAGCAGCCUAGCGUCUAGGGCACAGCCGGGGGAGUUUGAUUCGCAUCACCAGCCGAUCAAUCGUCUCCUCCUCAAUUUGUUCCUUAGGAUUGAUCUGUAGCUCCACACCCGCUGGAUUGGAUCGGGCGACAUCAUCAGAGGCGACCUAUCAAGGGGAAAGUACCGAAUCAUCUUAGUGACAGAUCUUCCUUGAGUGGAUUUUGAUCUUCUUCUCUGUUCGUGGGCAAGAACAGAUCAUUUGCCCUAGCCUUGAUCUUGGAGGUGAUGAAAGUGUGGGCAGCAGUAAGCAUCAUACCCAUGAUUUCUAGCAGUGGUUGCUUCAGUUUUGGUUCUUUGGUAACUCUCGGGUGAAGAGCUUGAUUUGGGAUCAAUUGAGCUGUUAGGAGGAUUAUGGUGGGAGCUGUGAGUGUUGAUCAGCUACAACCUUCCAAGGACUUGGGUUCGGGACGAGCGUCUCGACGCGGGAUUACUUGGCACGAUCUACAU